rnacentral:rRNA from 1 species
CACGUAGGGCGCAAGCGUUGUCCGGAAUUAUUGGGCGUAAAGAGCUCGUAGGUGGUUUGUUACGUCUGCUGUGAAAUCCUAGGGCUUAACCCUGGGCUUGCAGUGGAUACGGGCAGACUAGAGGUAGGUAGGGGAGAAUGGAAUUCCUGGUGUAGCGGUGAAAUGCGCAGAUAUCGGGAGGAACACCGGUGGCGAAGGCGGUUCUCUGGGCCUGUACUGACGCUGAGGAGCGAAAGCGUGGGGAGCGAACAGG